UACGAAGGGGGCUAGCGUUGCUCGGAAUUACUGGGCGUAAAGGGAGCGUAGGCGGAUAGUUUAGUCAGAGGUGAAAGCCCAGGGCUUAACCUUGGAACUGCCUUUGAUACUGGCUAUCUUGAGUACGGGAGAGGUGAGUGGAACUCCGAGUGUAGAGGUGAAAUUCGUAGAUAUUCGGAAGAACACCAGUGGCGAAGGCGACUCACUGGCCCGUUACUGACGCUGAGGCUCGAAAGCGUGGGGGAGCAAACAGG
rnacentral:rRNA from 1 species